UCCAUAUGUCCCUUAGCGCCGUGGGAAGCGCGUUGGACUUCCAUUCAAAAGUCGUGAUUUCGAAUCUCAUCUGGAA